rnacentral:rRNA from 1 species
CCAGACUCCUACGGGAGGCAGCAGUGGGGAAUAUUGCACAAUGGGGGAAACCCUGAUGCAGCAACGCCGCGUGAGUGAAGAAGCGUUUCGGCGCGUAAAGCUCUGUCAGCGGGGAAGAAAGAAGACGGUACCCGACCAAGAAGCCCCGGCUAACUACGUGCCAGCAGCCGCGGUAAUACGUAGGGGGCAAGCGUUAUCCGGAUUCACUGGGCGUAAAGGGAGCGCAGGCGGCACGGCAAGUCUGAUGUGAAAGCCCGGGGCUCAACCCCGGGACUGCAUUGGAAACUGCCGGGCUGGAGUGUCGGAGGGGUAAGCGGAAUUCCUAGUGUAGCGGUGAAAUGCGUAGAUAUUAGGAGGAACACCAGUGGCGAAGGCGGCUUACUGGACGAUCACUGACGCUGAGGCUCGAAAGCGUGGGGAGCAAACAGGAUUAGAUACCCCUUUAU